GACGAACGCUGGCGGCGUGCUUAACACAUGCAAGUCGAACGGUGAAGCGCCUUCCUUUUUGGUGGGUGUGGAUGAGUGGCGAACGGGUGAGUAACACGUGAGUAACCUGCCCCCUUCUUCUGGAUAACCGCAUGAAAGUGUGGCUAAUAUGGGAUAUUCUGGGUCUGUCGCAUGAUGGGUCUGGGAAAGAUAUUGUUUCGGUGGGGGAUGGGCUCGCGGCCUAUCAGCUUGUUGGUGGGGUGAUGGCCUACCAAGGCGGUGACGGGUAGCCGGCCUGAGAGGGUGGACGGUCACACUGGGACUGAGACACGGCCCAGACUCCUACGGGAGGCAGCAGUGGGGAAUAUUGCACAAUGGGCGCAAGCCUGAUGCAGCGACGCCGCGUGAGGGAUGGAGGCCUGCGGGUUGUGAACCUCUUUCGCCAGUGAAGCAGGCCUGCCUCGUUUGUGGGUGGGUUGACGGUAGCUGGAUAAGAAGCGCCGGCUAACUACGUG
rnacentral:rRNA from 1 species